rnacentral:rRNA from 1 species
UGUAAGCGUAUACCAAAGUUGUUGCAGUUAAAACGCUCGUAGUCGGAAUUUGGCAGUUCCGGAUGUGUGCACGUCGUGUGCGCACUUCGCGGGGAUUGCUUUUGUGGUCUUGCGUAGGAUGAGGCACUUUUAUUAGUGAACGUCCUCACGCAACCACUUUUUACUGUGAGAAAAUCAGAGUGCUCAAAGCAGGCAUUUGCCGUGAAUGUAUUAGCAUGGAAUAAUAGAAUAGGACUUGGUUCUAUUUUGUUGGUUUGUUGGGACUGAGUAAUGAUUGAGAGGGACAGUUGGGGGCAUUUGUAUUUCGGUGCUAGAGGUGAAAUUCUUAGACUACCGAAAGACAAACUGCUGCGAAAGCGUCUGCCAAGGAUGUUUUCAUUGA